rnacentral:rRNA from 1 species
GUGAGGAAUAUUGCGCAAUGGAGGAAACUCUGACGCAGCGACGCCGCGUGGGUGAUGAAGGCCUUCGGGUCGUAAAACCCUUUUGGCAGGGACGAGUGAGGACGGUACCUGUUGAAUAAGUCUCGGCUAACUACGUGCCAGCAGCCGCGGUAAAACGUAGGAGGCAAGCGUUAUCCGGAUUCACUGGGCGUAAAGCGCGCGUAGGCGGUCGGGUAAGUCGGAUGUUAAAGCCCCUGGCUCAACUGGGGGAGGUCAUUCGAUACUGCUCGGCUUGAGGGUGAGAGAGGAGAGUGGAAUUCCCGGUGUAGCGGUGGAAUGCGUAGAGAUCGGGAGGAACACCAGCGGCGAAAGCGACUCUCUGGCUCACUCCUGACGCUGAGAGCGCGACAGCGUGGGGAGCAAACGGGAUUAGAUACCCCGGUAGUCC